rnacentral:rRNA from 1 species
UACUGAGUUUACGCUCUACAACCCUUUGUGAACAUACCUAUAACUGUUGCUUCGGCGGGUAGGGUCUCCGUGACCCUCCCGGCCUCCCGCCCCCGGGCGGGUCGGCGCCCGCCGGAGGAUAACCAAACUCUGAUUUAACGACGUUUCUUCUGAGUGGUACAAGCAAAUAAUCAAAACUUUUAACAACGGAUCUCUUGGUUCUGGCAUCGAUGAAGAACGCAGCGAAAUGCGAUAAGUAAUGUGAAUUGCAGAAUUCAGUGAAUCAUCGAAUCUUUGAACGCACAUUGCGCCCGCCAGCAUUCUGGCGGGCAUGCCUGUUCGAGCGUCAUUUCAACCCUCAAGCUCUGCUUGGUGUUGGGGCCCUACGGCUGACGUAGGCCCUCAAAGGUAGUGGCGGACCCUCCCGGAGCCUCCUUUGCGUAGUAACUUUACGUCUCGCACUGGGAUCCGGAGGGACUCUUGCCGUAAAACCCCCAAUUUUCCAAAGGUUGACCUCGGAUCAGGUAGGAAUACCCGCUGAACUUAAGCAUAUCAAUAAGCGGAGGAAAAGAAACCAACAGGGAUUGCCUCAGUAACGGCGAGUGAAGCGGCAACAGCUCAAAUUUGAAAUCUGGCCCUAGGCCCGAGU